UUUGGAGGGCAAGUCUGGUGCCAGCAGCCGCGGUAAUUCCAGCUCCAAUAGCGUAUAUUAAAGUUGUUGUGGUUAAAAAGCUCGUAGUUGAACCUUGGGCCUGGCUGGCCGGUCCGCCUCACCGCGUGCACUGGUCCGGCCGGGCCUUUCCCUCUGUGGAACCCCAUGCCCUUCACUGGGCGUGGCGGGAAACAGACUAGUAG
rnacentral:rRNA from 1 species